rnacentral:rRNA from 1 species
GACGAACUGUGCGAGCGUUAUUCGGAGUCACUGGGCUUAAAGCGCACGUAGGCGGCAUCGUAAGUUCGGGGUGAAAUCCUGUCGGCUCAACCGCGGAAUUGCCCUGAAGACUGCGAAGCUCGAGGAAGGUAGGGGUGUGUGGAACUUCCGGUGGAGCGGUGAAAUGUGUUGAUAUCGGAAGGAACGCCGGUGGCGAAAGCGACACACUGGGCCUUAUCUGACGCUGAGGUGCGAAAGCCAGGGGAGCAAACGGG